ensembl:lncRNA
CUUCUCCAAUUCUUUCCUAACAGUUAUGAAUUCUAUGCAAAAUGCUUUAAGAAGUUUGGACAAAAAUGCGUUGAAGCAAUCUGUUCAUUGCAAGCUAAAGCAUGCACAGCAAAUGUACUGCACUUUUGUCUCCAGUAAUUGCAGAUCACAGACUUUACAGAGAUCUACUUCACUUGAUCAGCAAGAAAAGCCAGAGGAGCUGCAAGACAACGAGGCCCAGACCAAGGGCAGCAUUCCCAUCCCCUUUUCUAACUAGCCACAUUAAGUGCCAAAAAUGCGUUAAUAUAAUGUGAGAGGUAUGAGCAAGCAGUGCAGCUCCCUCUUUCCCCUCCCUCUGCAUUCCCCAAAAAGGGAAGGGAAAGGAGUACCUGCCUGCCUGGAAGCUUUGUUGGGGUGGGGAUGUGACAGGGAUGAGGUUGCCCUGGAAGGAUGGCAGCAUCCUGCCCUUGGUUUCCACAAAGAGGAAAUCGGUGUUCUCAGGGCCCUUAAGCCUGACUUGUAAACGCUGGUGUGGUUGGCUGUGUUACAGUAAUUGCCAUUUCAAUUACCUCUUGCCAUCCACUGCAUGGGUGACAACUUUCUGCUGAGAGUGCCAGGCUCUCAAAGGCUGUCAUCCUGACUUCCUUUCCCCACCCUUAGGCUGAGAGGGGUGAAUAUGAGUGCUAAUGAAUAAGGAACUGGACCUUCUGCAUGCUCUAGAAAUUCCGUUUACAGUCUGAAUUCUGUUGUCUGAGGAGGUUCUAAAGAACUUAUUACCAGUUUGGUUUUGUUGCUUGCUAGUGCUCAUGAAUGUGUGUGUAUAAGAACUUCUACUAAAAUAAUACAUUAAUCUUACACUUCAGAAAGCCCUCCUGGAGAACCACUGGGGUAUCAGGAAAAAUUAAUUAUAAAAAUCAGUACUGCACAUCAAAAAAGAACUACUAAAAAUGUAAGAUUUUUAACUGACCAUUUAAGCCUUCUUCAGAAUUUUGGGUUUGGCAAAGUCAACAAGAAAUAGCUGAUUCCUAAAAUGAGAGGUACGCUAUACAUUGCUUAACAGUUAUAAAGGAUUUCUUCAUGCAUUUUCUUAUCUGGUUCCAGUGAUAAAUCAUUAAGUGUGAAUCCUUUGUUUUGCUACUGUUUCUUUAAUUAAAGAUAAUGAUUCAGAUUAAAACAUCUUCCUUUGUCCAAAGAUUAGAGCAACAGCUAUGGAAAGCAAGACUAAGCAGGAUCAAGUCGUUUAGUGUCACACAGUGUAUUUUAUAGCAGUUGCAUUCUCGUUACCAAAACUCAUUCUAAACUGGCCCUUGUUUUCUCAAACAGCUGAGAUGGGCUGUCUUUUACGCAAUUUCAUUGUUUAUUCCUUUGCAGUGGACCAUCCCAAGACAUGGGCAUGUUCACAGGGAAAAAGGGCUGGAAUGUAUGUGGGGUUUUAUUUGCUGCUAAUUGUUACCUGUUGCUCAUGACUCAGCUGCUGCUAGGAAAAUGCAUCAUUUUUGGUGGCUGUAUCAUUCUGCACAUGCAAGAGGACACCAUUGAUUUCACCUGAACUGUAAAGGAUUCUAAGACAGAAAUUUAAUUUUGCAUUCAGCCUGAAGUUUGAAAUGAAUUGUUUGUUUGAAUUCAUGUCUACUGCAAAUUUCUUGGUCAAAGCCAGAAUUUUAUCUGACUGCUUGCUCCAUAGGCCAAACAAAAUAAUCAGCAAACCUAAGACUAUGUUUUCUAGAGUGUGUUAUAAGAUAAGGAAGUAGGGCACAGACUCCAAUCUUCAGUAGCCAAACCAUGUGGAAAUGUGAGAAUUCCUUAAACUAUGUAGGAUGAACUAUUUAACUCCCAGUCUGGCAACAUAAAACUUAUGCACUGAAAUUAUCUGAAAAUAAUGAAGAUUGUUUAAAUAAAAGCUGUGAGGCUUCAGAAGCUCA